AGUGAACGCUGGCGGUAGGCCUAACACAUGCAAGUCGAACGGCAGCACAGUAAGAGCUUGCUCUUACGGGUGGCGAGUGGCGGACGGGUGAGGAAUACAUCGGAAUCUACUUUUUCGUGGGGGAUAACGUAGGGAAACUUACGCUAAUACCGCAUACGACCUACGGGUGAAAGCAGGGGAUCUUCGGACCUUGCGCGAUUGAAUGAGCCGAUGUCGGAUUAGCUAGUUGGCGGGGUAAAGGCCCACCAAGGCGACGAUCCGUAGCUGGUCUGAGAGGAUGAUCAGCAACACUGGAACUGAGACACGGUCCAGACUCCUACGGGAGGCAGCAGUGGGGAAUAUUGGACAAUGGGCGAAAGCCUGAUCCAGCCAUACCGCGUGGGUGAAGAAGGCCUUCGGGUUGUAAAGCCCUUUUGUUGGGAAAGAAAAGCAGCAGGUUAAUACCCCGCUGUUCUGACGGUACCAAAAGAAUAAGCACCGGCUAACUUCGUG
rnacentral:rRNA from 1 species